UGCUUACACAUGCAAGUCGAACGAUGAACCGCUUUCGGGCGGGGAUUAGUGGCGAACGGGUGAGUAACACGUGGGCAAUCUGCCCUGCACUCUGGGACAAGCCCUGGAAACGGGGUCUAAUACCGGAUAUGACUGUCCAUCGCAUGGUGGAUGGUGUAAAGCUCCGGCGGUGCAGGAUGAGCCCGCGGCCUAUCAGCUUGUUGGUGAGGUAGUGGCUCACCAAGGCGACGACGGGUAGCCGGCCUGAGAGGGCGACCGGCCACACUGGGACUGAGACACGGCCCAGACUCCUACGGGAGGCAGCAGUGGGGAAUAUUGCACAAUGGGCGAAAGCCUGAUGCAGCGACGCCGCGUGAGGGAUGACGGCCUUCGGGUUGUAAACCUCUUUCAGCAGGGAAGAAGCGAAAGUGACGGUACCUGCAGAAGAAGCGCCGGCUAACUACGUGCCAGCAGCCGCGGUAAUACGUAGGGCGCAAGCGUUGUCCGGAAUUAUUGGGCGUAAAGAGCUCGUAGGCGGCUUGUCACGUCGGUUGUGAAAGCCCGGGGCUUAACCCCGGGUCUGCAGUCGAUACGGGCAGGCUAGAGUUCGGUAGGGGAGAUCGGAAUUCCUGGUGUAGCGGUGAAAUGCGCAGAUAUCAGGAGGAACACCGGUGGCGAAAGCCGAUCUCUGGGCCGAUACUGACACUGAGGAGCGAAAGCGUGGGGGAGCGAACAGGAUUAGAUAUCCUGGUAGUCCACGCCGUAUACGGUGGGGACU
rnacentral:rRNA from 1 species